UAUUUUAAAAGCAUGUACUUUCCUCUGCUUUAAAAGUUAAGUCAAAAGUGGGAAAGUACAAUACGCGUUGUGUUUAUCACGUAAGGUACGGUGGACUUAUUUCCUUUUACAUACUGUUCGUGACAAUGAAGUGGAUUCGAACACUAUUCCUUUAUCCUAAUUAGUAAAAUGAAGCGGUCGAUUGGGGGAGACGACCAGGUGUUCUACUUGAAUCAAGUCUAUUACAACGGUAUGCCAGUAUAACCUAUAAUAAUCAUACAUGCUAGUGAUAUGUGGUGGGAAUCUAUACAUAUGGCAUAAAACGGAUAUUAAGACACCAAAUCCAAAAUGCUCCAUUUGUUGGUAUAUACACUGCCAUUGUUAUCUGUUGUCAAUUCUGACGUUUAUCCUUGUACGGUAGCUAAAUGUGCACCUGGGUUAAUAUGUCAUGCUGUAGAAGGGACAUGUGGUAGGCUCCCCUGUCCACUCUUUGCAAGGUGUAUGAAUAAAACGUCAGUGUUUGAACCAUGUCCAUUUGGUAGACCUAUAUUACAGGUGAAUGGUAGACCAAUUCAUUGUGGACGAGAUCCUAGUGGACGUGUUUGCCCCAGGUCUAGCAGAUGCAUUAUAGAUCCAACAGACAAAUUCGCUGUUUGUUGCUGGAGUAAUCACGCAGAAGAUGAUUAUCUCGAAAAACCAUCUAGUGACGUUUUAGCUUAUGACGGUGUGUGUCCUCUUAUACCUCCACCAUAUGCCAUGGGAAUAUGUGUUGAACAAUGCAAGAGUGACAAUGAAUGUCUGGAUGGACUCAAGUGUUGUGGUACAGGUUGCGGUCGAAUGUGUUUGACUGCUGAAGCACCGAAACCUAUAUUCACCUGUCCAAUGCCUCCUUUAAACCCUUUCGGUUCUUGUAUAGAUGUUUGUAUAUUUGAAUCGGAUUGUCAGCCCAAUGAACGUUGUUGUAGCAACGGCUGUGGGCAUGUUUGUAUGACAGCUCAGGAUGCGU